GAUGAAGAACGUAGCAAAAUGCGAUACUUGGUGUGAAUUGCAGAAUCCCGUGAACCAUCGAGUUUUUGAACGCAAGUUGCGCCCGAAGCCUUUUGGCCGAGGGCACGUCUGCCUGGGCGUCACGCAUCGCGUCGCCCCCCACAAUUCUCCGUAAAGGGAACGUGUGUUUUGGGGGCGGAUAUUGGUCUCCCGUGCUCAUGGCGUGGUUGGCCGAAAUAGGAGUCCUUUCGAUGGACGCACGAACUAGUGGUGGUCGUAAAAACCCUCGUCUUUUGUUUCGUGCUGUUGCUCGCAAGGUAAACUCCUUAAAAACCCCAAUGUGUCGUCUCUUGACGACGCUUCGACCGCGACCCCAGGUCAGGCGGGACUACCCGCUGAGUUUAAGCAUAUCAAUAAGCGGAGGA
rnacentral:misc_RNA from 1 species